GAUGAACGCUGGCGGCAGGCCUAACACAUGCAAGUCGAGCGAGCGGCGGACGGGUGAGUAAUGUCUGGGUAACUGCCUGCUGGCGGGGGAUAACUACUGGAAACGGUAGCUAAUACCGCAUACCAUCAGAUGUGCCCACAUGGGAUUAGCUAGUAGGUGGGGUAACGGCUCACCUAGGCGACGAUCCCUAGCUGGUCUGAGAGGAUGACCAGCAACACUGGAACUGAGACACGGUCCAGACGACUACGGGAGGCGGCAGUGGGGAAUAUGGCAAAAUGGGCGCAAGCCUGAUGCAGCCAUGCCGCGUGUGUGAAGAAGGCCUUCGGGGUGUAAAGCACUUUCAGCGGGGAGGCGUUACCCGCAGAAGAAGCACCGGCUAACUCCGUGCCAGCAGCCGCGGUAAUAC
rnacentral:rRNA from 1 species